GCUUGUCUCAAAGAUUAAGCCAUGCAUGUCUAAGUGUAAAUACGUCUACACUGUGAAACUGCGAAUGGCUCAUUAAAUCAGUUAUAGUUUAUUUGAUGGUUCAUACUACUUGGAUAACCGUAGUAAUUCUAGAGCUAAUACAUGCGUCAAAACCCAACUUCUGGGAGGGUUGUAUUUAUUAGAUGGAAACCAAUGCGGGGCAACCCGGUAUAUGGUGAUUCAUAAUAACUUUCGGAUCGAUCUUCGGAUCGAUGCAUCAUUCAAGUUUCUGCCCUAUCAGCUUUGGAUGGUAGGGUAUUGGCCUACCAUGGCUUUAACGGGUAACGGAGAAUUAGGGUUCGAUUCCGGAGAGGGAGCCUGAGAAACGGCUACCACAUCCAAGGAAGGCAGCAGG
rnacentral:rRNA from 1 species